GGGGAAUAUUGGACAAUGGGGGCAACCCUGAUCCAGCAAUGCCGCGUGUGUGAAGAAGGCCUGCGGGUUGUAAAGCACUUUCAGUGGGGAGGAGGAUUGAUUGGUUAAGAGCUGAUUAAUUGGACGUUACCCACAGAAGAAGCACCGGCUAACUCCGUGCCAGCAGCCGCGGUAAUACGGAGGGUGCGAGCGUUAAUCGGAAUUACUGGGCGUAAAGGGUGCGUAGGUUGUUGAAUAAGUUAGCUGUGAAAUUCCUGGGCUUAACCUGGGCUGGUCAGCUAAUACUGUUUAACUAGAGUAAGGGAGAGGGUAGUGGAAUUUCCGGUGUAGCGGUGAAAUGCGUAGAGAUCGGAAGGAACACCAGUGGCGAAGGCGGCUACCUGGCCUAAUACUGACCCUGAGGCACGAAAGCGUGGGGAGCAAAC
rnacentral:rRNA from 1 species